UUCCUUGUGAGGCUUUAUUGCAUUAACACUUUGAGAGCCCCCAAAUCAACAGAGCUGUCAAGGAAGGGAAGUCAAAACACUGGAUCAAGAGCCCACAGAACCUGUGGUUUCCAUCCUCAGCAGUAGAACAAAGGAAAGGGGAUAGCAGCAGAGGCAAUUUUACAAGCUCUUAAUAUUCACCACACUCUAGAGCCAGAGAAGAUCAAGCUGGAUCCUCAACCUUCCUACACUGAUGGCCUCUACCAAAGCACAUGUGGAUGCCUGGGAGCUGCACCAGCUGUUGAAGGGGGCAGCGGGACAACAGUCCCUUCCCAGAGCAGAUCUGCUGUGGAGCCAGAACAAGAGGCACUAGAUCAGCAUCCUGUAUUUGGUGAUAGUGAAAAAAAGUGCUUCAGAGAAACUGUGAAUCACGUAGAAGAUGGUGCAACAUUUGGUAAGAAUCAUUGGCAGGAACACAACAGCGUUUAGCAGGUUUUUUCCAGUGCUGCAGCUCUUGAUGGCAAAGACUGAGGCUUUGGAAAUGCCCUAGGAAGGCUGUCAGGAGCCAGUGGGCAUUGGGCAGUGACAGCAGACUUACAAGCCAAGAACAGCCUCCCUGCCAACUUGUGUGAUAGCUGCUCUAAUCACCACUCCUACAGACCUUA